rnacentral:rRNA from 1 species
UACGGGGGGAGCAAGCGUUGUUCGGAUUUACUGGGCGUAAAGGGCGCGUAGGCGGCCAUCGCAAGUCGACUGUGAAAUCUCCGGGCUUAACCCGGAAAGGUCAGCCGAUACUGCGGGGCUAGAGUGCAGAAGGGGCAACUGGAAUUCUCGGUGUAGCGGUGAAAUGCGUAGAUAUCGAGAGGAACACCUGCGGCGAAGGCGGGUUGCUGGGCUGACACUGACGCUGAGGCGCGAAAGCUAGGGGAGCGAACGGG